UGUUUCACCCAGUAGGAAGUCUGAUUUAUCAUAACAUCCUGUUUGUGAAGUUGUUCUACAACGAGGCAGGCACAGACAGUCAACUGCUUUGAAGGGGAACUGAUUCCGGAGCUCUCUGUCAUGGGAAAGGCGAAGGCCAAUGCUGGGCUCCUGGCCCGGAGGCCUGACAACUCGGCUUUCAAACAUCAGCCUGUCUGGUCCCCAAUGCUCACUGCUCACACCGUCCUGCCUUCCUUUUAUUGUAUGGCCACUAUACGUGUGAAACUGGGAGUGUGCCUACUUGCCACCGUGCAGAAUACACAUGAACUGAAGGUGGACUACACACAUGCAGGGUCAUGUGAUAAGUGUUUUGAGACCACAAGCUGUUGAACCAAAUCCAAGUCCUUUGAGAAGCACAGUGAUUAUGUUUCCUAUUUCCUGUCCCUGAGAGAUGUGUUCUUCUACUUUGGGCUGAUCAACUUCCACCAGAACAUACAUGGACUCCAGGGAUGAUGGACAGAUGGUCAGGAGAAAAUAAAAACCUGCAGCGCCUACUGUGAGCCCUUCAUAAAGGAAAAGAAUGGACUCCCUAUCGCCCCCUGCUGGGCCAUGGCCAACAGCAUGUUCAACGACUCCUUCUCUCUGACGUACUACUCAGGAGAGGGGGGUCCAGUGGUCCAUGUUCAUCUGUUCAGGAAGGGCAUCACCUGGUACACCGACAAGAACGUCAAGUUCCGCAACCAACCAGAUGAGAACAAGACACUUAACGUUAGCACAUGAUUGAAGGCACGACCCGGCCUCUGUAUUGGUAGAAGCCCGUGUUUGACCUGGACCCCUGGGACCACAACAACGGCUUCAUCAACGAGGACUUGAUAGUGUGGAUGAGGGAGGCUGCCUUCCCCAACUUCAAGGAGCUCUACAGGGUCCCGAGCUAGAGAACCCUUCACCGAAGGGCUGCCGACUGGGAACUACUGCAUCCAUAUCUCCUACAGUAGCCAUUAUUAUUCAUCUGCUUAUUAAUGCUUUAUUCUACCAGAUUGAUCAUUUUGAGAUUUAAAUAAAUUUAAUUAAAACUA